AUACUGUGAUGACCGCAUAGUUCAGCAGAUUGCUUGAAGAAAUUUACCACUUGUCUGAUGUAUCU